rnacentral:lncRNA from 1 species
UUUGGUUGGGAUAUUUCUCUUCUUGAAGAUGAUGCGAUUUCUGAAUUAGCUCAGGAUAUACACAGGUCUGCAUUUCUAAAUAGCUUCAAGUGAUUUCUGAUGAUCAAGAUAUAUUGUGAACAUUUUUGUGAACAUUAUUAAUCACCUUGAUAAAAAUAUCACCGAAAGAACAGCAAUCUGUUAACAUUAUUUUCC